GCCCCACGUUCGGAUUGUAGUCUGCAACCCGACUACAUGAAGCCGGAAUCGCUAGUAAUCGCGGAUCAGAAUGCCGCGGUGAAUACGUUCCCGGGUCUUGUACACACCGCCCGUCACACCAUGGGAGUCGGGAAUGCCCGAAGUCAGUGACCCAACCUUAGGGAGGGAGCUGCCGAAGGCAGACCUGGUGACUGGGGUGAAGUCGUAACAAGGUAAC
rnacentral:rRNA from 1 species